rnacentral:rRNA from 1 species
AUUGAACGCUGGCGGCAUGCUUUACACAUGCAAGUCGAACGGUAACAGGCCGCAAGGUGCUGACGAGUGGCGAACGGGUGAGUAAUGCAUCGGAACGCGCCCAGUCGUGGGGGAUAACGCAGCGAAAGCUGCGCUAAUACCGCAUACGAUCUAUGGAUGAAAGCGGGGGACCGUAAGGCCUCGCGCGAUUGGAGCGGCCGAUGUCAGAUUAGGUAGUUGGUGGGGUAAAGGCGCACCAAGCCAACGAUCUGUAGCUGGUCUGAGAGGACGACCAGCCAAACUGGGACUGAGACACGGCCCAGACUCCUACGGGAGGCAGCAGUGGGGAAUUUUGGACAAUGGGCGCAAGCCUGAUCCAGCAAUGCCGCGUGCAGGAAGAAGGCCUUCGGGUUGUAAACUGCUUUUGUACGGAACGAAACGGCUCUGGUUAAUACCUGGGGCUAAUGACGGUACCGUAAGAAUAAGCACCGGCUAACUACGUGCCAGCCGCCGCCGUAA